rnacentral:rRNA from 1 species
UACGUAGGGUGCAAGCGUUAAUCGGAAUUACUGGGCGUAAAGCGUGCGCAGGCGGUUAUGCAAGACAGAUGUGAAAUCCCCGGGCUUAACCUGGGAACUGCAUUGGUGACUGCAAGGCUUGAGUGUGUCAGAGGGAGGUGGAAUUCCGCGUGUAGCAGUGAAAUGCGUAGAUAUGCGGAGGAACACCGAUGGCGAAGGCAGCCUCCUGGGAUAACACUGACGCUCAUGCACGAAAGCGUGGGGAGCAAACAGG